UACGGGGGGGCAAGCAGUUGUUCGGAAUUACUGGGCGUAAAGGGCUCGUAGGCGGCCAACUAAGUCAGUCGUGAAAUCCCUCGGCUUAACCGGGGAACUGCGUCUGAUACUGGAUGGCUUGAAUCCGGGAGAGGGAUGCGGAAUUCCAGGUGUAGCGGUGAAAUGCGUAGAUAUCUGGAGGAACACCGGUGGCGAAGGCGGCAUCCUGGACCGGCAUUGACGCUGAGGAGCGAAAGCCAGGGGAGCAAACGGG
rnacentral:rRNA from 1 species